UCCAAAUAAUAUGACGAAUGGCGCUCU
rnacentral:precursor_RNA from 1 species